UGCGUGGCGCAGGGAUGCUGUGUGUGCGUCACGCUGACGCGGCACGAAGGGCACGGGUCUACCGGCCGGGAGGACAUUCGGCCUCUGAGGAUGUUCUCGUCCGUGGCGCACCUGGCGCGGGCAAACCCCUUCAACGCGCCGCACCUACAGCUGCGGCACGAUGGCGUCGCGGGCCCCUGCAGCCCCCAGGACGUGCCGCGCCGCUCCCGCCACCUGGCUGCCGCCGCCGUGGAUGGUGAGGUCAUACUCUGCCCCACGCGGCCUGGGCCCCGAGUGAUCCCCGUCCUGCCGCUGAGGCCUGCGCCGGCCUAGAUAGAGGACAGGGAAGGACGCGCCAGCCCUUCCCUGCAGGACUGGUCCCCGGUGUUGGCCCCAGGAUGUCAGCUUGAACCGCCUUGGGCCGGUGUCGGAUCCUUGGCCCUCCCUCAAGGGCGUGGAAGGUCCCAGGCGCAGCGCCACUCGGUGACCUCCAUGUCCCCCAAGGGAGUAGAGGCCGAGAGGCCGUGACUAACUUCUUAUCUCCGCGAUCCACUUGGUCAGCUAAAUCGGCUGGGUAAAAAUCUCCCUUCUAACCCUGGCCACUCACGGUUCCAACUGCAUGACCUGGUCUUUGAUUUGCCCCCUUUUUAUUUCCUGGAAAUACCCCUUUGCCCACAUAUUGUCCGAGUUUUAUGUUAGCUGAUGUCAGGAGGUCGUCUUUCCACUAAAUUGUGUAGGAGAUAAUGGGAAUCUCGUACUUUCGUUGCUACUGGUGACGGAGGUGACUUGUAGAUUCGGCGGUAAUAGGUGGGCAUCCCCUUUGAGCUUGCCUUUGGGGAUUCAGGGUGCUUGACUCUAACGUAAUUGGGUGUUUUAAAUCCUAGUGGAGCAUAUGUACAGAG
rnacentral:lncRNA from 1 species